ACCAAAACACCAGAAAAUUAAACACAAUCUACAAUUUUUUGAAGGAAGUGAGAUUCCUCCAGCUCAUCCAUGGCUUAUCCCAAACUUCCGCCAAGUACUUAUCGCCGCUGCGGCUACGACGACCGCCGUCUGUGGCGGAGAUGACCAGUCGGUAAUUUGUCCCGGCGACGACUUGUGUUUCUCCUUUCACCACUCGUUUAAACACUAAUUUGGAUUUGGUAUUCUCGUUGUACUGAUCCACUGCGAAUUUACCGAUCUCCACUACUUUACUGUCUUUUGUGUCGGUUAUACGGCUCCAACCGCCGAGUAAACCGCCUUUUCCUCCGCCGAGUGCAGCGGAGGCGUGGAAGAAGAGGGAAGCGACUACCACGGCGGCGAAGAGAGUUCCGGCGAGAUUGCGGUUGAAUUUUAGAGCCAUUAACUGUACAGCCUG
rnacentral:misc_RNA from 1 species